rnacentral:rRNA from 1 species
AGUGAACGCUGGCGGUAGGCCUAACACAUGCGAGUCGAACGGCAGCACAGUAAGAGCUUGCUCUUACGGGUGGCGAGUGGCGGACGGGUGAGGAAUACAUCGGAAUCUACUUUUUCGUGGGGGAUAACGUAGGGAAACUUACGCUAAUACCGCAUACGACCUACGGGUGAAAGCAGGGGAUCUUCGGACCUUGCGCGAUUGAAUGAGCCGAUGUCGGAUUAGCUAGUUGGCGGGGUAAAGGCCCACCAAGGCGACGAUCCGUAGCUGGUCUGAGAGGAUGAUCAGCAACACUAGAACUUAAACACGGUCCAGACACCUACGGGAAGCAGCAGUGGGGAAUAUUGGGCAAUGGGCGCAAACCUGAUCCAGCCAUACCGCGUGGGUGAAGAAGGCCUUCGGGUUGUAAAGCCCUUUUGUUGGGAAAGAAAAGCAGCAGGUUAAUACCCCGCUGUUCUGACGGUACCCAAAGAAUAAGCACCGGCUAACUUCGUG